GACGAACCGUGCGAACGUUAUUCGGAAUCACUGGGCUUAAAGCGCGUGUAGGCGGGAGGGCACGUCCGUUGCUGAAAUCCCCCGGCUCAACCGGGGAACGGGCGCGGAUACGACCUUCCUGGAGGGGCGUAGGGGGACCUGGAACUUCCGGUGGAGCGGUGAAAUGCAUUGAGAUCGGAAGGAACGCCCGUGGCGAAAGCGAGGUCCUGGACGCCUACUGACGCUGAGACGCGAAAGCCAGGGGAGCGAACGGG
rnacentral:rRNA from 1 species